CGGAAAAAUGUGGCCAACAGACACGAGGAUCCUUUUGUUAAAUUAUUAGAGGCAAUAAAAUUUAUAUACAAGCCUUAAUACACGUUUGUCUUAUUAAAUUUAAAUAAUUUCUUUGUUUGACCGAUCAGGGUUAUUUUUUUUCAUAGGUUGUUGAUUUUCGUAUUUGGGGUAUAAUCUGUUUCCUUUAUUUCAUUUAGUUAUUUUACAAAUGAUGUCGAUAAGGUAACACUGAUUAUUUGACAGUUUGUAAUUCGUUUGUUAUUCUAAAAUAAUAAUAAUUCAACAAUAAUUGAAAUGUGUAUUAAAAGCAAUUUUUGCACUAUGGUAUAUAAAAUAAAUGUGUGCAAAUGAAUAAGUGAUGUGUUAGUGUAUAUAAAAGUGAAAAAUAUAAGUGAAAAAUUAAUUUUAUAUAUCGAAAAUAUGUGAUUAAAAUAUUGCAAAUUUUCAACUUUAAACGCGAAUAUCUCGGAAACUAUAAGCUUCCUGCGGCUAUAAUCAUAUAUAUCCUUGAUCAGGAUAAUCUCCUCUAUCUGACCAUAUCCUUUUUAUCCUUGAAAUCCUGGGAUGGUAUACUAAAUCCUUCCCAAAACUACCAUACGUUGGAAGUAUCAUUCAAAGUUCGCUCGUCAUUGGUCACCUCACCAUUAAAAUUAAUUUUUUCGAAAACAUUGAUUAUGCGCCUCUGACAAUCGGCACUUUUAUUUCAAAACUCAUUGAUCAAUUCUUUUUGAGUAAUUUCCAACUGGCCAAACCACAUUGGCUCCUAAUAAAUAAUUUGGUGCUAUUAUCACUAUUAAAAUAUGUUAGGUUUUCUUUCUUUCCAGAAUUGUAAAAAUGAAAAUUGUAAAGCGCUUAAAAAUGUUUUCUAAACGCAUGUCCACAAGCGAUUAUCGACGUUAUCGAUUUAUAAGUGUCUUUUUGUCCGUUUUGUAUUCAAUAACGUUUACAAUUUCAUCAUGGAAAGAUAUACGCAAGAACAACAUUUACAAACUAUUCAAUUUUAUUAUCAAAAUAAUUGUUUUCCAAUUGCAACUUUUCGUACACGUUUGCCAUUUUAUUAUUGUAAUAAUUGUCCAUCAUCUGCAGUAAAUAAACAAAACUGUCGAUUCUAGUGCGAAGAAUAUCCACAAAUUAUUUAUAAACAACCACUACAUUCACCUAAAAUAACAAUUUGGUGUGGGUUUUGGCCUGGUGAAACAUCGUUCCAUUCUUGUUUCAAAAUGAAGCUGGUACUGUCAAUUGAGAGAAGUACAGACCCCUUGGCCAACUUAUUAUGCCCGCUUUUGGAAGAAGUUGAUCUUGAAAACAUCUAGCUUUAACACUUGAUUUAGUGGAAAGAGUACUCAAAAAUUGGGUUUUUCAAAUUCGUUCCUGAAAAAGAAGUCCUGGAGGUCAUUUGAAUGAUGUUAUAUUGAGAAAUUAAUUGCAUGGAUUGUGCUUCACAUUAAAUAAAAAACAUUUAAAUUUCCUUAACAAAGAA